CAGAAUAAUAUGAAACUUUAAAUCUAGCCUCAUAAAAAUAAUUCUGGCUUAUCCUCCAGUUUUCAUAAUUUUCUGACACUCUACAUUUUCUGCUAAUUUAUCUGUCCCGUUUCCAACAAAAAAUUCUAAAUCUUCUGUUUUCAUUCUGAUUUCAGCACAAGUCAUUUCUGACUUAUGUUUUACUUUUCUAAAUCCAAUAAAAAUAGCUUCUCACACUAUUUUUAUUUAUUUUUAUUUUUAUACCAAAAUCUGGUAUGUUACAUUCAGAUCCACUUUA
rnacentral:lncRNA from 1 species